GUACAAUUAAGAAACACGCAUCAGUCCCGCGCGGUGCGCGGCCACAUCGUUUACCGGCCGGUCAGCAUAUAGCGUGUAUUCACGGGUGACUGGGUUGUUGCUGUAGCCCCCUUCCUUCGUUGCUUAAUUUCACUUCAGAGAGUGCACUACAAGUACACAUAUAAAUCCUGUCUGACUGCAGCCCUCCAGGACCAGAGCUGAAGAAGGUGUGUGUCCCUAUCGCAGGACUCCAGGCCAGCAGUGGAGAUAGAAAUCAGAAUGAGAAAUGGGACAGACAGAAGACCAGUGAUGCAGCUUCCCUGUUUCAGUCAGCAGCAGAAAAACACCUUGAAUAAUGUUUCCGUAUGGUGGGGUGUGGCUUUUUAACAAUUUAUAUCAAGCUCUCAACCGCUUGAAUGUAUGGUUAAACUCUAACCAAAGCCCACCAGCAAGGAGGAAGAUUUUGUGGCAAAUAUGACCCUGGCUAAAUAUGACCACUAAUGGUCACAUGGGCUCCAACCACAGAAUUUAGCUGGAACUUCACCAGAGCCUAAGUGCAAAUCUUCCAUUUUAAAGAAUAAAGUUAAUAAAAAUAUAUUUCAGUAUUUUCAUCAUCUAAUCAAGGCGUUAUCGUCACAUGCAGCCAUUUAUUUUGAUAAGGGAACAAAAAAAACAAUGAACCACAUGGGUAAAAUAUAAUCACACCUCCAGUAUUUUCAUGAAUCUCUAAACAAACCUUUCCUGGGCCACACUUAUUCAUGAACCCAGCUGUAUUUUCCCGAUCACAUGGUUCACAGAUUCUAUUCUAACUGCCUCCCGUGCCUCAUAAGUCCACCAGCCCAUCAAAGUCAUCCAUCAUGGGGGGUCAUAAUUUCUUGCCUGUUCAGUUCAGUGGAAUUCUCUAGCAGCAAGACCGAAAAACACCUGUCUAAGGGGGAAAACAGAUUGCCUGUCCUUAAUAUGCAACGCCAGAAGUAUUGCGUAUUGCAUAUCGCAGACUAAGCAUAUUUUACGGUGGGAUCACAACCCAGAGCUGUUGUAAACUGUCAAUCACCAAGCUAUGAGAGGAUGACUCUACAAAUUUGUCUAAUAAUGAAAAAAGAGCCAGAUAAAAAAUAAAUGAUCAGCAGACAGAGGGACUGAUACUACAUUUUCACUCUUCUCUGAAAUCACCUCCAAGCAUCACCUCAUAACAGAGGACACUACUCAUGAGACAAUACCUAACAACAGAGAAAAU